CACAUCGUGAGGUGUGGACGAGAAGAAGCAAUAGCAAAAUCGUAGCCUGACGAACAGAAACCUAAUAUCAAGGCUUGCAUAACGACAGCAAAGUGGGAAAUGGAAUUAUCUGAUAUGAGUUUUU
rfam:Oribacterium sp. ACB1 genomic scaffold acqcx-supercont2.1, whole genome shotgun sequence.